rnacentral:rRNA from 1 species
UACGAAGGGGGCUAGCGUUGCUCGGAAUCACUGGGCGUAAAGGGUCUGUAGGUGGCCAACUAAGUCAGACGUGAAAUCCCUCAGCUUAACUGGGGAACUGCGUCUGAUACUGGUUGGCUUGAGUGCAGGAGAGGAACGCGGAAUUCCAGGUGUAGCGGUGAAAUGCGUAGAUAUCUGGAGGAACACCGGUGGCGAAGGCGGCGUUCUGGACUGCAACUGACACUGAUGGACGAAAGCCAGGGGAGCAAACGGG